GCGGCAGGCUUAACACAUGCAAGUCGAGCGGUAGCACAGGGGAGCUUGCUCCCUGGGUGACGAGCGGCGGACGGGUGAGUAAUGUCUGGGAAACUGCCUGAUGGAGGGGGAUAACUACUGGAAACGGUAGCUAAUACCGCAUAACGUCGCAAGACCAAAGAGGGGGACCUUCGGGCCUCUUGCCAUCAGAUGUGCCCAGAUGGGAUUAGCUAGUAGGUGGGGUAAUGGCUCACCUAGGCGACGAUCCCUAGCUGGUCUGAGAGGAUGACCAGCCACACUGGAACUGAGACACGGUCCAGACUCCUAC
rnacentral:rRNA from 1 species